UACGUAGGGUGCAGGCGUUAAUCGGAAUUACUGGGCGUAAAGCGUGCGCAGGCGGUUUCUUAAGUCAGAUGUGAAAGCCCCGGGCUUAACCUGGGAACUGCGUUUGAAACUGGUAGACUUGAGUGUGGCAGAGGGGGGUGGAAUUCCACGUGUAGCAGUGAAAUGCGUAGAUAUGUGGAGGAACACCGAUGGCGAAGGCAGCCCCCUGGGUUAACACUGACGCUCAUGCACGAAAGCGUGGGGAGCAAACAGG
rnacentral:rRNA from 1 species